UACGGGGGGAGCAAGCGUUGUCCGGAAUUAUUGGGCGUAAAGAGCUCGUAGGCGGUUUGUCGCGUCUGCCGUGAAAGUCCGGGGCUCAACUCCGGAUCUGCGGUGGGUACGGGCAGACUAGAGUGAUGUAGGGGAGACUGGAAUUCCUGGUGUAGCGGUGAAAUGCGCAGAUAUCAGGAGGAACACCGAUGGCGAAGGCAGGUCUCUGGGCAUUAACUGACGCUGAGGAGCGAAAGCAUGGGGAGCGAACAGG
rnacentral:rRNA from 1 species